AGAUGGACAUGAUGAAAGAAAUAAUAAUAGAUGCCUGAUUAUCAAAUGCUAUGUGUUUGAUAUGAUUGAUCAAAUUAUCGCUACGUUCUUUCUGAUUCAGUU
rfam:Cicer arietinum chromosome Ca3, whole genome shotgun sequence.